rnacentral:tRNA from 1 species
AAGGGCUUAGCUUAAUUAAAGUGUUUGAUUUGCAAUCAAUUGAUGUGAGGUGUAUUCUCGCAGUCCUUA